ACGCUCGACACCUACGGGGGGCAGCAGUCGGGAAUAUUGCGCAAUGGAGGAAACUCUGACGCAGUGACGCCGCGUGCAGGAAGAAGGUUUUCGGAUUGUAAACUGCUUUAGACAGGGAAGAAAGAAAUGACAGUACCUGUAGAAUAAGCUCCGGCUAACUACGUGCCAGCAGCCGCGGUAAUCUGAGGCGGCUGGCAAGGC
rnacentral:rRNA from 1 species